rnacentral:rRNA from 1 species
UACGGGGGGGGUAAGCGUUGUUCGGAAUUACUGGGCGUAAAGGGCUCGUAGGCGGCCAACUAAGUCAGACGUGAAAUCCCUCAGCUUAACUGGGGAACUGCGUCUGAUACUGGAUGGCUUGGAUUUGGGAGAGGGAUGCGGAAUUCCAGGUGUAGCGGUGAAAUGCGUAGAUAUCUGGAGGAACACCGGUGGCGAAGGCGGCAUCCUGGACCAAUAUUGACGCUGAGGAGCGAAAGCCAGGGGAGCAAAGCGGGG